rnacentral:lncRNA from 1 species
UCUCUCUCUCUCUCUCUCUCUCUCUCUCUCUCUCUCUCUCUCUCUCUCUCUCUCUCUCUCUCUCUCUCUCUCUCUCUCUCUCAUGGCCUCAUGAAGAGCGUCCACACCCUGCAAACCGACAACUUCAUUAGGCCAGAAGCAUCAUGUCCUCAAAUAGACCCCCACUUCUCUCUCUCUAACAAACCCUUGUUUGUUUGUGCCAAGGCAGGAGCCCAGAGAAGGAAAAGCAAGAGGACUCCAUCCCCCAUUAAAAACCCAUUUCGUGAACCAUUUCAAAAACCCACAAGACAAAAACCAGAAAAACCCAACAAACUUUCUCUCUAUAGAUAUAUCAGUCCCAUCCUUUAACCGAAAAAUAUAUAGCGGGUAUUGUAUUAUUCAUUAGGAAGUAUAAUUUCUCACUCUGUAGAGAGAGAAAGAGGGGGGGCACGCGACCCGGGGGGAUUAUGUACUCUAGAGAGAGAAAAGCAGAGGCCUUUUUGCAGAAGGCGAAACCGACCUUCCGCUACAAAGUCAUGAUUUUUCCACAAGGGGAAAUCCUCUUUCUCUCUCUCUCUUCAGUCAGGGGAACAAAAUGGGUAAGUUUCAAGUGUAAUGGGCGCAGCAGCUUUAAUGAACGCAGAGAGAGAGGAUGAAAGCUACACGGAAUUCAGACUGCACGGAAAAUGACAGGGUUUUUACAAAGGUAGGGAGAGGGCUUCGACAAAAGAGCGGGAAAGGACUUAGCGAGAGAGAGUGGGGGGAGUUCAAACUAUAAAUGCAGGUGAGGGUGGACAGACGUAACAGAGUUUUGAACUUUGCGAGAAGUGGGGGCGACCGAGGUCCGAGGACGCAGUAGCCCGAGUAAAGGGUAGGGUCAGACCAG